UAAAUAAUUUUACUUUGAAACUGCGAAUGGCUCAUUAUAUCAGUUAUAGUUUAUUAGAAAUAUUUUACUACUUGGAUAACCGUAGUAAUUCUAGGGCUAAUACAUGAGUAAAACCUCAACUUCGGAAGAGGUGUGUUUAUUAGUAUGAAAACCAUAUAUCUUCGGAUAUAAUAGUGAGUAAUAAUAACCUUUCAUAUCGUAUGUCGUAAGAUAACGAUAGUUCUUUCAAGUUUCUGCCCUAUCAGCUUUCGAUGGUAGUAUAUGGGACUACCAUG
rnacentral:rRNA from 1 species